GAUGAACGCUAGCGGCAGGCUUAAUACAUGCAAGUCGUGGGGCAGCAUGAUGUAGCAAUACAUUGAUGGCGACCGGCAAACGGGUGCGGAACACGUACACAACCUUCCAACAAGUGGGGGAUAGCCCAGAGAAAUUUGGAUUAAUACCCCGUAACAUAGCGAUGUGGCAUCACAUUGCUAUUAUAGAUUUUUCGCUUGUUGAUGGGUGUGCGGCUGAUUAGAUAGUUGGCGGGGUAACGGCCCACCAAGUCUACGAUCAGUAGCUGAUGUGAGAGCAUGAUCAGCCACACGGGCACUGAGACACGGGCCCGACUCCUACGGGAGGCAGCAGUAAGGAAUAUUGGACAAUGGACGCAAGUCUGAUCCAGCCAUGCCGCGUGAAGGAUUAAGGUCCUCUGGAUUGUAAACUUCUUUUAUAAGGGACGAAAAAAGGUUUUUCUAAGUCGUCUGACGGUACCUUAUGAAUAAGCACCGGCUAACUCCGUGCCAGCCGCCGCAGUAAGAC
rnacentral:rRNA from 1 species